GACGUAGGGCGCGAGCGUUGUCCGGAUUUAUUGGGCGUAAAGAGCUCGUAGGCGGCUUGUUGCGUCGACCGUGAAAACCCGGGGCUCAACUUCGGGCUUGCGGUCGAUACGGGCGGGCUAGAGUUCGGUAGGGGAGACUGGAAUUCCUGGUGUAGCGGUGAAAUGCGCAGAUAUCAGGAGGAACACCGGUGGCGAAGGCGGGUCUCUGGGCCGAUAUCGACGCUGAGGAGCGAAAGCGUGGGGAGCGAACAGG
rnacentral:rRNA from 1 species